rnacentral:rRNA from 1 species
UACGUAGGGUGCGAGCGUUAAUCGGAAUUACUGGGCGUAAAGCGUGCGCAGGCGGUUUUGUAAGCCAGAUGUGAAAUCCCCGGGCUUAACCUGGGAAUGGCAUUUGGGACUGCAAGGCUGGAGUUUGGCAGAGGAGACUGGAAUUCCUGGUGUAGCAGUGAAAUGCGUAGAUAUCAGGAGGAACACCGAUGGCGAAGGCAGGUCUCUGGGCUGAAACUGACGCUCAUGCACGAAGCGUGGGAGCAAACAGGA